AUGGAAAUGAUGACACCAGAGUUCUUGACUGUUAGUGAUGGUCUUUGUAUUCAUACUGUCUGAUCCAC